ACGAAUUCAUUUAAAGAAGUUAUUACUCCACCACCUGCGUGACAUCAUUCACCAACGUGGUUGAACGACAAGUUUGCGACAAUACGGUUUCGGGAAAUAGACGUGUCUAGCUAGUUGAUUUGUUCAACGAUGCAUCGUACUAUGGUAGUUCAGUAGCGAGUUACAUCGUUGUUUGGGAAACGCACCCCAGGUUUUUGAGCCCCUAAGUCACGACUUCAAACCACAACUCACGACUUUGUAGCGUUCCAGGCAAGUCACGCCAAACUGCCUGAGUGUAAACAAACCCGCAUGGCGGACUAUACGGCCAUUUUAAAGCAUGAACUUCUCUCUCUCUAUACGGGGCUUAUGCUCAUUUACAAUCAUUUCUAUCACCAAAGGUAAUAGACUUACUCCUUUCGGAGGAGAAAAAAUGGUGCAUAAGGCAAGAGAAGCUGUUAUAUCUUUUAUUUUACGUUAUUUUACCGUACACUUGCAUAAACACCGCAUCCGUAGGGGCUGCCAUUGUUGUUUCGCGGGCUAUGUGACGUCAGAGCGCGGAACUGGGAGUACAGCGAUCUAGUACGAGUUCACGUGUGGGAAGUCACAGGUUUGAUUGCCAUUCCAGUGCACUUUCACGUGUAGAAGGUUGGAAAAACAUGGGUUACAGGUUGCCUGGAACGAGGCAUAAGCUCUUCAGGAUUACUAGAAAGCUACAGGCAGCCACAGACAGAGCACUGCGUACUUCAGAAGGCUGUGGAAGUGAAAAGGGAGGACAGCCAAAGCUUUCAUUGUCCUGCGGGGAAUGGGUUUGAUCCACCCACAAAGAAAAUGCUUUAUGGAUGGCCUCCCAAAACUGAGACCAGCAAACAGCACAUUUUCUGGGUUCAUUGCAAAGCUGCGGGAUAUAAUGGGAACAUUACUAUGGAAUAAUAAGAAGCAGGCUUACUCAGUAUGUGGCUGAAAUGCAAAUGGCUGAAGGACACCUGAACGCAACACAGAAUACCUGCACUUUAUCUCAUACGUGAUCCAAUGAAGCAUAAGUAAAGUGUGAUCUUAACAGAAUCUUACUGCAAAUUGUCACAUUAACAUUUUCUAUUCUUGUGUAUUAGCAUUAAUGUCUACUGUCUAAAUAACAUACUACUGUCUGCUGUUCAUGAGCAUUUUUUUUCAUUUUAUUGAUGUUGCUACUUAAGGGUAAUGGUUAUAGAUGAUGUGUACAAUGGAAGACACUGUAGCCAUUCCCAAAAAAGUCAUGACUAAAAUGGCAUCCAGUAGCAACAAAUAACUUCACUGCACACCAUCUCCCACCGCCAUCUUCUCCCAUGAGGUACACUUGUGAAUAUGCUUUGGCGUGUGAAUUGAUUUUAAAAUGGGAAAUGGUUAUAUUUAUGCACUGGAGCCUGAAAAAGUGAUACAUGAUAUCUACAGCUCUCUCUGUUGCCCAUAUAUGCACUAUACAGUCACUUGGAUUUUUUCCACAUCGAUACAGAGUACUGUAUGAUAUCAAAGGGAAAAAAUCCACACAUUUUAUUGAACUAAAGAUUAAAAAAAAAAAAAAAAAAUAGAUAUUAUUGAAUACAUGUGCAGCAGAUUUUUCAGAUCAGUGUAUGAACUUUAUAAGGAUAUGAUUUUGCUUUCUAUUUAUUAUUUAAAGAACACUAUAAGUACUUUGAUACCACAGCAAAAGCUACUAGCCUAACUAAUGAAAAACAAUAUUUUUUUUUUAUCAAUAUUUCAUUAAGACAAAUGAAAAGUUGGUAUUAGAAUAUGGGCACAUAAACAGACAGAUGCAAUAGAACAAAUGAAAUAAAUAGUGUUUCAGUUUUUCAAGUAUAGGUCUAACAGUAUUACAGACAUUGUAAAAUAACACUGCGUAGUCUUCACCGUAUAAACUAAAUAUAAUUCAUCUUUGUUAAAGCUACAAAAGUUAUUUUCUUUUUGCCUUUUGUUUGAUUAUCAUUAAUGACAGCAGAAAGUACAUUAGGCUGUUGUUAUUUUAAGUUGAGCUAAUGCAAUGAUUCCAAUAAUGCAUCCGUUUUCUUUCUCAAUUGUUUACUUGCUUGAAUGCUGUAAACUCACUAAAACAGGAAGGUUAAAGUCACAAUUAAACUGUGAAUCGCAUGCGCUCUGAACCGUGGGGCCUGGUCCACUACAAUCCAUUACACUCCUAACUUAGCAUCCCUUAUCUUCACUCCAGCAGUUACUUUCUUUGGUCGAGACAGGUGAUGCAGAGUGACUUUGAUUUGGGCCAUUUUAAAGCAUGAACUUCUCUCUCUCUCCCUCUCUCUUUUUUUGUACUUUAUGCCACUCUAGUAUAACUAUUAUAUUUUUUGGGUAUAUUUUUGGGUCAUUGUCCUGCUGGAAGAUUAAUCAUCUUCCAAGUCUCAGUAUUUCAGCAGACUGCAGCAUGUUUUUCUCUAGAUUUUUUUUUUUCUGCAGCUCCAUGAAUUUUCCCCAUCUUUAUGAAUUGAGAAGCAUCCACAUAAAAUGCUAUACCAUAAUACAAUAUUAGAAUAAUAUUUAAAGGUUUUGCGUCGACCCUAAGUUGCCUUCAUCUGAAAUCUUUGCAAUUGUCGACGUUGCCUGCAAACUUUGUCUAUACAAAAGCAUAUCAAUGCAUUGACUACCAAUGGAGUGAAGCUACUAGAUUUAUUGAAUUUCAUCUACAAACAUCAGGGUUCUGUGGUCUCUUAUCCUCACCAAGUCUGCAUUUAUUUGAUCAAACAUACAUUAAAACAAUACUGUGAAAUUUUGACUUUUUUUCUAUAUUAAUAUCUCUUAAAACAGAAAUGAUUCCUGUGAUGGCAAAGCUGAAUUUUCAGCAUUAUUAAUCUAAAACAUACUUGAAGCGGUUAACCAAUCAUGACACACUGGUCCAGCCGACCAAUCAGAGCACAUUGUGUUUUUCAGGAGGAGGGGCUUCAAUAUUGACGUAUUUAUAGCACUAAAAUGCAAAAAUACGUACGUAUUACCAGCAAUAAAACAUAAAUCAUUUACAUAUCCAAGUGUGAAUGUGUAUGAAUUCCCAUGUAUUAAUAUUAAAAUCUUGGCAUUAAUGUUUUGAUUCUGUUGUAUUUAAUUGUCAUGUUUUAGUCGAAUUUAUAGAAUGCAGUUUACUCAUACUUAAUAUGAAAUAACAUUUAUGUUUGUGACUUGUGCAGCAAACUUGU